AGAACGAGGAAGUUACAGCCAUGGUGACGCCGUCUGUAAUAGAGUGAUUCUAUGUUGUCUGUUGCAAUCUCCUGGUGAAUGUUGGCUGUAGCGUUAUGGAGUUGCUUUUUUAUUGGCCAACGAUUUACGUGGUGUUGUGCUUCUGGCGGCAAGUGACUCUUCCGAGUACGCAAAUGGCAGAACAAAGGUUACUCAAAUAGUGAAAGACUCUGGCGAGGUGGUUUGCAGUUCCCCAUCUGAAGCCAGAUGUCGCAGCCUCUCCGUGUCUUCCGCGCUGUGUCCCACCUGCACCAUGGCCUUACAAUCCACACAUGAGCCCACCACCAGCGUCCUCCCGUCAUCCACCACGAGUGUGCGAGUGCUGCGUGGUGCGUACAGGAAGACCGGCAGCCUGGCCACAGUGACCCUGCACAUCUGCCCUUGCCUGCGCUGCUCCUGCCUGCAGAAGAAGCACACAAAUGCCUCACAGGUGUACUGGCGGGCCCAAGGUGAGCUGGAGGAGCCAGAGGUGGAGGGCAGGGAGGGUGUGGCGCCACCUGGGCCCUUUCUUUCAUGCUGGUCCCACUGAGCGUAUAGGUCAUGGUAGCAGAGGCUGCAGGCUGACACCAGGCCUGUGGCGUCAACCGGCUUGGCGCUGGGGGCGGGAGGGUGGACUGUGAGGAAAGGGAAGAAGGGCUCCUUCUCGCCGCAGCGUUUGGUUGGGUUGACGUGGAGCUGGUGCUCUCCUCCGGCGGGUAACUCCGCUCCACAAAGGUAGCAAACAGACAAGGAGUUAUCCGAAGAAGCGCCACUAUGGGAACGAACAGAUCCGAACGCUUCGAUGGCGUUGACGGAAUGGUACCUGACCAGGAAGGAGCUGAUGGAGGUGAUGAGGUCCUCGGUGAGACUGAGGCGAUAUGCGCUCCAGAUGUCCUCCAGGAUUAAAAAGCAUUGCGAACAGCUGUGUACGCACCCGUUCCUCAGCGGCCGGGCGUUGGGCGGGCACGGAAGCAUGUUGAUGAAGGGGAAAUACAUCACAGCGCGGGAUUUACCCACACCGGCCUGAGCAUGCACUACUUUUUGAUCACCCUGACACUCCCGCCCGCAGAGGAAACAGGCCUCGCGGGGACCCUCGUCGGCGCUCUCCGUCGGUUUCUCCGGCAGGGCAGUAUGCCGGAUUGCAGCCGGGUUGAGCGGGACAACGUAGAGGCGUUGGAGCACAGGAACAUCCGCCUGUUGGAAGUCGUGCCACUGCUGCAUGAGGGAGGCGUGACAGCUGCCACACACCAGGGUGGCACCUGCCGGGCUGAUGGGUAAGGCCCCUGGUGGGGGGGCAUGGAGCCACAGAAAGGGGAAGAAAGGCUCCCCCUGCUCAGUCUCCUGCUUCUGAACACUGACUUUAUAACUCCCGUUCCGAAUGAAAGAAUUCCCACAGAUGAAGCAAGUACGUCCUUCUGCGGAAUUGUGCGGCUGAGCAAACUUUAGGGUCAAAAGGUCCCCGGCAGACCCUUUGCCGUUUAUACCGCCAAGCAUGUCCCUGCCGGUGAUGUUAAUCUCAUCUUCAUCAGAGUUGUGGACAUCUCUGUUACCUUUGGAGUGGAGAGUGGAUGGACGCAUUGUCCCACUCCCCACCUCCUGCAGCCACAACCUGUUCCGCGUCACGACCAGGUUGUCUGGCACAGGUGUGUCGGGGAAAUGGCUGUCAUAGGUCCUCCCCUGGAACUUGGACAAAUGAUAUGAUGAUUUAGCGGCCCGUCUUGUAGGAGGGACGCUCUCCGGUUCGGGUGACCCCUGCGCUGCGUAAAGCCCCGCCGAGAAGCGGGGGAGCGUCCUCGGCGAACCGGGGCUGUUUUUAACGCUGUUCUUCCUGCUACUGUCCCUCGGCAACUUCCCGGGUGCCCUCGGAUACUUGCCCGCAGCGCCUCUCUCCACCACCUCCAUCUCCUGGUCGGACAUGUUAUCGGAAAAGGAGGAGAAGUCGGACUCCGCGCCGCCGUCGUAAUUGUGGCUCCCGGUGCUGAUCCUCCGCUCCAGCUCGUAGGAGAUGUUCCAUUCCUGCGGGACCCGGCGAGAGUCGCACUGGUAGGGACGUUUGAGCCAAUACAUGCGCUUCUCGAUGGGCGUCCCGCUCCGCUCGAAGGAGUUCCACUGCUCGGCCAGGAAGCAGUGACACACGGCGCACACCCGCGCGUAACCAUCCGGGCUGAGCUCGCUCGCACCCGGGGCUGGCUCCUGGUUCUGGAGGAAGGGGAAAAACGGCAGUGUCUCCUUUUGGUAGCUCACUUGUAGCCGCAGCUCUUUCCCCGCCGUCACGCCGCUGCCACAUAUAAAACAAUGCACCAGUGCGCCCAGGCCGUUGCGGUCCGUCCUGGAAGUGUUGCCCGGCAAAAGGCUGUCCUCGCCGGGCAUCGCCGCUGCCAUGAGUCGGUGCUUCCUGGAUAACAGCGCCAGCUCCUUGCCGCGAGGGGAAUGCAUUGUGUUAGAAUGUGAAAAGCCAACGCAAGGCUACAUGGUCCAUGUCCUCCUCAUGCACUCGUCUGUAUCUGCACUUUCAAGCAAUGCAUCCCAGUCGGACGACAGUAACUUUUUAUCUCCCACGCGUGGAUCCACUUUAAAAAGACAGAACUCCCGCAGCUUGCGAUCCACAUGUUGCUUCGCGCGUCGGAUAUUGGAAGAACAUGACUUCUGCAGCCCGCUCUGCAAAGUUUGGCCGCGUCGUCGCUCCCACUGUACUCCACGCCAUCCCAGGUCCACGCUCCAGCUGAGACACCCCCAAAGGCAACCCCCACACGCAAGACCCCCACCACCCGUCACUGAGAGUCGUCCCCCUCCAGUCCUAACACGCACGCUUAUGAGCUGACUCAUGCGAUAUUAGUCAACACUCACCACGCGUGGAAAUUCCUCUAAAUGGGCAUGAUUCAUUUCAGAGGGGAAGUCGCUUCCGAAAGGUAUAUAAAGCGAGUCAAGUUAUUCAUUUUGAUGUUUGGCUCAGUAUGACGAUAGAGGCAAUGUAUGCAUAACUAUACAUGAGGAAAGAUAACAUGCAACUUAUAUAAGUUUUUCUUGUAUGAAUUUGAAUCUUUGAAGGGAAAUCAUUUCAAGCAGCUGUUAAAUAAAUGUGGAUCAGGAUGAUUUAAAUGUACACGAACAUUAUUCUGAAAUAUUAGCAAUAAUUUAAAUUGUUUGCGUUUCCAUUGACAAUUGUUCCAUUAGGUGGAGCUAUAUCCUCAUACAUGCUUUGACAGUCCCAUGUCACAUCACUGUUUGGAAUUUUCUAUUACCUAAAAAAAAAAAUUGAGCAAAACUGAGCAUUAACAAUACCAAAAUAAAUACAUAUAAAUAUGAAUGCAUGUAAUAAAUAAAUAUUUAGCAGGUAAAGAUAACAUGCAUUUAAAAAAAAAGAAGAUGACAAAUUAGGACAAAAUAAAAAUGUGAAUACAAAA